rnacentral:rRNA from 1 species
GAUGAACGCUAGCGGCAGGCUUAAUACAUGCAAGUCGAGGGGUAUGGUAGCAAUACCUGAGACCGGCGAACGGGUGCGUAACGCGUAUGCAACCUACCUAUAUCAGGGGGAUAGCCCUAGGAAACUGGGAUUAAUACCGCAUAAUAUAUGAAUUGGCAUCGAUUUAUAUUGAAAGAUUUAUCGGAUAUAGAUGGGCAUGCGUAGGAUUAGCUAGUUGGUAAGGUAACGGCUUACCAAGGCUACGAUCCUUAGGGGCUCUGAGAGGAGUAUCCCCCACACUGGCACUGAGAUACGGGCCAGACUCCUACGGGAGGCAGCAGUAGGGAAUAUUGGGCAAUGGUCGCAAGACUGACCCAGCCAUGCCGCGUGCAGGAAGACGGUCCUCUGGAUUGUAAACUGCUUUUGAAUGGGAAGAACGGCAUGCUUGCGAGCGUGAUUGACGGUACCAUUAGAAUAAGCCACGGCUAACUACGUG